UACAGAGGUCUCAAGCGUUGUUCGGAUUCAUUGGGCGUAAAGGGCGCGUAGGCGGCGGGGUAAGUCGGGUGUGAAAUCUCAGAGCUCAACUCUGAAACUGCACUCGAUACUGCUCUGCUUGAGGACUGGAGAGGAGACUGGAAUUCACGGUGUAGCAGUGAAAUGCGUAGAUAUCAAGUGGAACACCAGUGGCGAAGGCGAGUCUCUGGACAUUUCCUGACGCUGAGGCACGAAAGCCAGGGGAGCAAACGGG
rnacentral:rRNA from 1 species